CAUGGCGGCGUUUUCUGGUCCGGCUGCGCCAGUCUUGUCGCUUAAGAAGAUGUCGAGUUUCAAAAGGAGGUGGCGCAGGUUCACAAGCGCGUAACCCAGGGAAAAAAACAAGGACAACUUACUCCUGGAGUCGUCUGUGUGCACCACCUGCCUAACCCACUUGAGGAAACCCAGAUCUUUUCCUAUUUCUCCCAGUUUGGCACUGUGACACGGUUCAGACUGUCCAGAAGUAAAAGGACUGGGAACAGCAAAGGCUAUGCAUUUGUGGAGUUUGAGUGUAAGGAUGUUGCCAAGAUAGUUGCUGAAACAAUGAACAACUACCUGUUUGGUGAAAGACUCUUGGAGUGUCGUCUUAUGCCACCUAAGAAAGUCCAUAAAGAACCCUUUAAAGACUGGAAUGUUCCAUUGAAGCAGCCGUCAUAUCCAUCAGUGAAACGAUUUUACAGAAAACGGAAAAGUAUUUCAAAAACUAAUUGUCAGAAGUCUACAAAAGGCCAGGUUUUACGUAAGAAGAAGAAAAAGGUUGUAGGCACUCUUGACACUCCUGAGAAGACUGUGGAUAGCCAGGGCCCCACACCAGUUUGUACACCAACAUUUUGGAGAGAUGAAAAUCUGAAGUGACUGAAAUGAAUGAAGAUGAUAAAGAUAAUGAACCAGUUUUCAAACAGCCCGUAUCCUGUGUAAAAGAAGAAAUACAGAAGACUCAAACACCUACACAUUCACGGGAGAAAAGACGAAGGAAAAGCAAUCAGUCAUUUUUAAUGUAUUGUAUUUUCUGAGAAAUACAAUAUUUUUAUGGGGGUGGACUUUGUAUUUUACUAGGUACAGUGAAAUGCAACCCGUGACAAGAUUGUCAGAGGAAAAAUACACUGUUUGGUCCAGUUAAGGAAAGCAGUCUGUAAUUUUAGAUUGCCUGCCCUUGGCUGAAAUACAAGGGUGCAGACCGGUUU